rnacentral:lncRNA from 1 species
UGUUGCUUAUUCACAAAUCAGAAGAGUGAUUGAUGACCUUGAAUUUUAAAACCAGUAAACUACUACACUUUGUUGUCCAGUGGUUGGUAUUCCUUAUAUUGGCUUCAAGAACCAGUGUUUUUAGAUAAUUUUCGUACGAGUGAUAUGUACUUGUAAGAUAUGGACCUGAAAUAUAAUUUUCAGAAAUAAUUAGAGAUUAACACAGAUAACUUAAUCCCAAUUAGACUGUGAAAGAAAAGAAAACUGUGAAGUUGUUUCUGUAUAUAUAAACACAGAAAAUUUGGGUUAUAGAUGGACUGAUGUGAAAGAAAACACUUCUAAUCAGCUGGAUGUUUUGCAACUUCUGAACCAGUUUUUCUGAAAUUUGCAGACAGACUUUUACACAAGCACCAGGUCACAUCCAAGUCGUCGCCAGUAACUACAGUCAACUUGGCUACACUCGAGCUAGUGCCUCAUUCACGCACCUCCUUACACCACCAUGAUGCUCAACUUCAAGCACAUGUGCAAAGAAGGAGCGUGAGUCACCUGUUUGCCUGAGGUGCGAAUCACCGAGGUUUGAUCCCACUAUAGAGAAAGCCAGAUGGGCAUGUUGUUCCCUUCCCAUCAUGAUUUCCAACUCCCUCAAGUCUUUCGCUCCAGGGCAUCAAUUCUCAGAGUAACGUUUUAAUGGCCAGAAGACAUGGAGAGUGGUUUUAAUUUAUAUUUCAAAUUCCAGAAAAUUUCAAAAGACAAGUCAGAUACGUGUAUCCCAGAGAACAUUUUUAUUGUGUUUUUUAUUAUCACUUUGAAAGAAACAGUUAUAUUUUCUCAACUUGUUAUAUCAUGUGAAAAUACUUAUAUUUUGUUGAGAGAAUUCCUUAGAUUUCAAUUAUGAUACGUCAUAAAACAAAUAUACUUUUUUAGUUUAGUGUGUUUAAUAAUGUGCCUUAAUAAAACUGCGUAAAGAAAGUUUAUUUGUAUUGUAUCUUGUAAAAACGUUUAUGAAAGUCACAUGAACUGUGAAUCAUCGUUUUAUGAUGUGCUAACGUUCGUUUUUGCACUCCGUAUAUUAAAAACUUGUAUAAAGAAAUGUCCCUUGUUUUUAAUUAGAUUUCUUAAAUAGGUUACACUAACUAACUUUCACAUCGAAUGUUUAUUAGAUUUAAUCAUUUUUAUCGUUUCAUUUUGCUACAGUCAAAGAAAAUGCUAGGCUCGGUUUGUUCACUAGCAUUUUUCUUCUUGUUUUUUAGUUACAAUAAAUAAUUAAAGAAAAUGGAUUUCGAAAAAAAAUGUUGGUUUGGGAAACCGGGACGGUCGAAAACGUGAAUAUAAUUAAGCUGAAUUCUUGAUACUUUGUCAAAGAGUAACAGAUAUUCGCGCAAUGAGAAAUGCCAUAAUUACCAGAUGGAAGUAGACAUGGUGCUAAAAAAAUAAUGUUUUUGUGAACAUAAGUUAGUACUGUAUAGUCAUAAAAUUCCAAACCUGUGAAUGUAAUUGAUUGUUACAGAUGACCAUUGACGUUUUUGGUUUCAAAAAAUUAAGUCGCCACGUUUUUGUAAUCAGUAAUACUUUCCAGUGGACAUAGUUAAAAGUGUCACUCUUAAUUCAUAUUUAGUCGAAGUUGUAAUGGAUAUUUUGUAUUGGUGGAAAAGAUACUAAGGCUAUCUGCCGCCGUUCCUAAUUAUGAACUAUUGGCCUAUCACCCAACAUCCACGCUAAGUGAUUUACUGUCACUCUUAUAAUGCACCACAGCUUAAAGUGUGGGCAAUAUUUUUUGGUACCUCACGGAUUUGCGCCUGGCUUGCUAGCUCCGAUAUCCAGAGUUCUAUCAAAGAGCCAACCCCGUAAAGCCAGAUAGUGAUGUAAUUGAGAUCAUUAUAUACAUAUUUCGCUACCGUUGUAGAAAGCAUAUAUGUGAAUGUUAUGUAUAUAACAUACGUAACGCUAUGACUUACGUUUAAAAUCGUAGUAACCCUCUAUAAUCGUGCACUUUUCACUU